CUUCCUUCAUAUUCCAUGGGCAAAGGGGGAGUCUUUACCCUAAGACAUCUCCAUCUCCAUGGAUUUGAGUUCAGCGGGUGCCUCUGCAGCUCUAACAGAGUCGGAUAAUACAAAUGCAGCUUUAACCAGGCCUGGCCAUGGCAAC